AAAAGUAUUAGUUAUCAGCAAAAAUGGGCACAAUACAGUUGUCAGGAAAAAAACCCGAAAAGAGUGAAAUGGGCAGAAAAGAGGAUGGGAUGUUCUGCUUAAUGUGUGCCAUUGAUUGUCUUUGAGUUAUUUUUCCGUGUACAUUUUCUAAAAGGAAUAAUGAAAAUGAUUCUUGUCCAUAGAAAUAGACCUAAAGGAAGGAAGUGGGAAGGGGCGCGGAGAGGGGGUGCUGGAUGCAGGCGGUGGGGGUGCGAACGGUUUCUUCUGCGAAAGAAUUAGAGGGCAUAAUAAGUACUCCUCGGAGGUGGCCAACUCGCUUUGCAAACUGUUUAGGGAUCCGAGGGUCGCUAGAGAAGAAGACCACGCAGCGCGGGCCCAGGUGCCAAGGGCGGGCGAGGGCGCAGCCCCGGGGGAGGAGACGCGGAGGGGACGCUGGCAGCUCCGGGGCGGGGCGCGGCGCGGCCAGAGCGGAGCAUGGAGGCGGCCGCGGCGGCGCGCGGAGCUGCAGCAGACCUUUACCCAGUGGAUAUUUUGGAAGAUGACCCCGAAGGGCAUCGGGAGGCAGCUCUGGCUUACUAUGCCUCGCUUAGGGCAGGCGUGCGGCCCUCAGCGGAGGUUUUCUCUCUUCCCACCGGGGAGCAGGUUAAACUCGAAGCUUCGUCUGUUUGCUUUUGCACCGUGCACCGUGAUGAACCUCAGCAGAAAAUAUUGGUCUUGGUUAAUCCCCAGGACACAAAGACAGUUGUGGCUGUUUACAUAAAGGAGAGCUGGUGGACCACCGAGGAUGUCCUGAGAACCUCUGAUCCUGCACGAGAAGGUCUGAUGAAGGUUCAGUCAUUUGGGGAAAGGAUUGUGCUUUUCAUUCUAAACGUCGUUAUUUUUGGAAGAUUGGAGAGAAAUUUGGAUGAUGAUGCCAUGUUUUUUUUACCUCACUCUGUGAAGGAGCAAGCUAAAAUUCUGUGGAGAGACGGAGCAGCUGUUGGAUUUUACACAACCAAAAUGAAAGGCAGCCUGUGUGGCAGUGGCACAGGUGCGUGCUACCUGCUGCCUGUCUUCGACACCGUGUUUGUGAGGAGGAGAUGCCGUCGCCAGGGCCUGGGCAUGGCCAUGCUGCGGGACUUCUGCGAGGCAUUCCGGGAUGAAGAGGCCCUGGGGCUCAGCUGCCCCGUCUCUCCUGCCAUGUACCAAGUCUGCAGGAAGUUCCUGUUGGCGUGGCCGGAGGAGCGAGGGCGCCUGUGGGAGGUGGAGCCCCCGGGAGCCUGGGGCCAGCGAGGCAACAUCUGGCUGAAGGUUCAGCUUCAACGGUCAAGCCUUCCAGACUGGAGUAAAAGGAAAAACACCACAGAUUGGCAAGGGACCUGCAGAAGGCUCAGAUGGAGGAAUAACAAUCUGCUGCGUUUGAGGACAUCGGGGCUGGGCGUGAACGAGCGGGCAUGUGGGCUGUGCGCAGCAGGCUGGGACCCGGUUUAGGGGCAACUCAAGGUCGGACGGAGCGCAGGACAGCUGUAGCGCCUGGGAACUUCGGAGACCCCACUGUGUGCGAGGCUCUCCUUGAAGAGUGAAUUUACUUGCGACUUUUGGUUUGUCUUCUGCCUCCUCCUCCAGUCUGUCAGCUCCAUGAGACUGUUGGUUUCCAUACCCACUGGGCUAGGACCUAGAGAAGCUUCUGGAACAUAACGGAUACUGGAGAACAUUGGAACAGGAAACUGAUCUACUGUCAGUAACGGCAGUGAGGGGGUGAGGAGAGCCCCUCAUUCUAUUUGCGCCGGAGGGAGGAUUUGGCGCUUUGUGCUUCUGAGACACGGGACCUCCUGGGCCUCCGUUUCCAUGGCAUCCAGCACACAGUGGGGCACAGCGAUCCUGAGGCAUAGGUAUUAUUAUUGAUUUCUGUGGAUGAGGAAAUCCAGGCUGCGAAGGGGUAAGUGACCGUCCAGUGUCACGUAGUUAGCAAGCCAGCCAGAUAGGGCUCACUUGUCUAAUGGCCAAAUCCUUGUCCCUUCAUCCACACCCUUCUGCUUCCCAAGUGAGUCAGCGCUGCAAGGAGCAGAGGGUGCGGACACGAGCAGUGUCUGCUUCGUCUGGUGUUGGCUAUGAAAUAAAACGGUGUGAACUCUCAGGUUCUCAGCUUGAAGAUACCAACAGUUGUCUCUGUUGAGACUUUUGAGGAUCACACUCUUUUGCAAAAUGGCCAAGCAAAUGAUAAAAAGACAAAGUACAUUCUAGUAUUGAGAUGAAUCUUCGCAAGGCACAGAAGCAUUUAAAUAAGAGAUUCCUGUGUAAGUUUCUACUUUGGACCUCAUGAGAAAGGAUAUAUGUAUUUGAAAAUUCUUUGGGUGGACUUGGGGUAGGAAAUUUGAAGGGUUUGCUAGAUUUAAAAGCUAGAAGCUUGAAAUAUGGGUAUCAUGGCUAAAAUAUGACAUAAAUUUCUUGAAAAGUGUUGGUUCUUGGAAUUGUUAGAAUGUCCAUAACAUAGCCCUGCAGUAGUUCAUGUUACUGGGUCCAGCCUCACUGUAUAUCACACUGUGUCAAAGCAUUCAUCCAUUGUCAGGCUAAUUUGGAAUAAAAUGUCCUAUUAAUUUAGAAAUGUGUCUCAGGACACACGUGUGGCUUUUGAAGGACAGCUCCCAACAACAUGCUCUAGAAACACAGAGAAAACUUCCUGCAUUGUGAACAAGUCUCUUGGAAGACCAGAGGCGCUGGUCAAGCGUGGAUUGCAGGGCUGGCUUCCCUUAUUCUCAGGAAGAAAGGAGGAAAGUGAGCAUUUGGCUUCUGCUAUUUCAAUUCUCACCACGACCUUCUAAGAUAGGUACUGUUUUCUCCACUUUGCCGCUGAGGAAACUGAGGCUCAGAGGGGUUAGCUCACACACUAGUGAACAAAAUAGCCAGGCUAGACCUGCCAUUGUGAUUCGAAGUCCGUUUUCUUGCUCCUGCACGAUAUGCUGAAUCUGCCGUCAUCUGGUUCUCGAGAACAAGUGGUCAAAUCAGGGACUGGAAAAUCUUGGCUUCCUCACACAUUUCCAUAGAUUUAUCUUCCACAUUCAUGUGUGUGUGUGUGUGUUUAUACACACAUUAGUGCUCACUAUUUAAUAUAUAUGAUGAAAGUGGAUCUUCCAUAUGCUAAUUAACUUUUUGAAAAUGUUCAUUUCCUACAUGAAACAUGCAAUUGUUGAAUAUCCACCCAAACUGAAGAAUGAGUUCCAGUGUGUUUAGCCAACUCAGUGACUCAUGAUCUCUUAGUGACAUAUAGGUAAGUGUAUACAGCUGGCAUGUUUCCAGCCCUUUGGACUCCACUGAGAAUUAGAAUUCAGAGGUAUGUUUCAACCUUUCUUGCCUUCCCACCACGACUAGCCCAGUUGUUUGUAUUCCCAGAAUGCUGAAAAGGUGGGGGAAUUUUAAAAGGUGGGGAAGAUUUUGUUGUAAUAUGGGCAAAUCCUUAAUUGGCCCUGCUAACCAGGUGGCUAAUUGAUGGACCACUGGAUUUCAAUGGUAUAAGCAGCAACUUAUAGUUAAAUAUUUGCACGUGUAUCUAAUUGCCUAUGCAAAAUUGUUCCUGCCAAAUAGAAGUCUGGUGGAGCCUUCAAAAUAACUUGGCAUUCAACAUGCAUUAAUAUUUCAAACCGUCACUAACACUUGCUGUAGAUCCAAUUUUACUAAUGUGCGUUUUUUUUAAACACCUCCCACUGCAGUGUGUAAUUUUUGAAUAUCUGUAGCAUGCUUAGAAUACUAUCCUAAGGUCCCGGGAACCAAGAAUACUGAUUGUGAAUUCACAGUGCCCACAUAACCAGCAGGAAAAAAACCCCCAAAUUUGUUAAACAACCAGUUGUUUUUUUUUUCUAAAUGAUGUAAAAAAACCCGAGUUAACUUCGUGCUACUUCCUUGGAGCAUGGAGAGCGACGGUCACUCGGCGCAAUGUCAUGUGGCUGAGGGCAUGGCAGCCGUGAUUCGGGCUUUGAGCCAUGAAUGAAGACCUUCAGGGAAGACGUGCGUUCCCUGCUCUGUGGAGCAGAGGGUUGCCAGAGCUUGCAGCGAUGCAGCAGGUGGGGGUUUGGGAGAGUUAUUUCCCCCGCCCCAGGACAGGUGGUGAGCUCAGAGCCCAGCGCUGAACCAUCCAAAGGCAUCCUGCAGGGUGGCAAGGGGCCAAGAUGAUCCAGGCAGAAGGAGGGAGGACAGAGCAGGCUUAGGGGACGCUAGGAGAUGGGCUUGGUGUCUGGCAAGUGCGGGGUCCAUGGGAGGUGCUAGGGAGCGAGGUUGGUGAAGACACAGGGACUUGAGAUCGUGGAAGAACUUGCAAGUCACACUAAGGACUGUGGACUUUAGCCUGAGGGAUUCAGCGGGCGACCCAUGCACUUGAACCACCAGGACGCUGUCUCUGAGAUGAGCAACUCGUGGGCUGUAGCACUGACACUGGGAGAACUUCAUUAACUCUGCCCAGAGCCUGGUGAGCGCCCGGCGAUCCAUGGACCACGAGGAGUAAAUCACCCCGCCCCUCGACCCUGGGGUCUUACCUCUGCAGAGAUUGUGAGGUUAAACGGAUUGGGAAACAUGAUUGGAAAUUAGAAUUCGAAAGCAAUAUUGGUGCAGCUAUACCCUCAGACAUGGCGGUGGCCACUCAUUUAUUUCAUUUAACAAAAUUUAUUUUGUUCGGUGGUUUCUCAACUAGACAAAGUGUCUGGAGACAUUUUUGGUCAUCAAAACUGGAGUGGGGGUGCUACUGGCAUUGCAUCUACUGGGUAGAGACCAGGAGUGCUGCUCAGCAUCCUGCAGGGCACAGGGCAGCCCCCCAACAAUUAUCCGGCCCCAAAUGUCAAUAGUGCUGAGCCUGGGAAACCUUGAUUCAGGGCCUGCUAGCUUCUGGACAUCGUGCCAAUUCCUGGGAAUAUUGAGGGAAAUUGGACUUAACUGGUGAUCUUGAAGAGCUUGUGAGCUACAGCAAGGACAGAGUUGCGCGCACACAGCUAGAGGUCACUGAAGAGCUGCGGGCUUGAGUUUCUAGAAACAGGAGCACCUCCCCUUGAGCCCAUGCAUGGACUAGGGUGUUUGCUUUGCCUUUUCUCACGUGAAAAAACAAGACACGUCCUUCCUGCCUCGCUGGGCCAGCUCCUCUUUCAGCCUGCAUGAAGGGAGACCAGCGAGGGCAAGUUGGAACGGGAAAAAAAAUUCCAGGGGAAAACAGCCAAGAAAAGAGAGGCCAAAUUUAGAGUGCUGUAGCUGUCCUUUAACUUGAUUUCUAAAUCACAUUUUAUCUGGAGAGGCAGGCAAGGACAUUGACUUAGUUUUUUGCAACCCAUGAGUUCUAGGUCAAAGCUGACACAUAGGAGGGGCUUGAUAAUCAUUUGUUGAGUUGGUUUGCAAUCUGGUCUUGCAUGAACUCUCCUACUCUCUCUGCUUGGUGCCCUCUCAGGGGGAAUAUUUUUACCAUGUCCAAGGUUUCCAGAUGGUGGUGUACCUCAUCCUACAGGGAGCAUGCCAUCACCAUCGAGAAGCAUCCUCUGAUGCUCUCAGCAACGCAUCCUCACGCUCCCUUUGGCCUGCUGUUGCCGUCAGGCUAGUUACUGAAGUCCCUGCUUCCUGCUGACUUUGUCGUGCUGUGGAGAGCAGGCUGCAGCUGCACUGCCAGCCGGGACCCUGACAGCUUCCCAGAUGCCUGUGCUCCAAGGACCAGGGUCCCUCCGAGGCUUGAAUGGAGGCUCCCACUGCAAGGGCUCCUGCAAACUCAAGUCUGCAGCCACCUGUCUGAGACCCCACUGGUUUCAGAGUCAUUUGCUGGCACUGAGUCACAGUAGCAGGUAGAGUGACAAGAUGGGGGAAGUGCGGAUGGACCCGGGGCCCAAACUGAGGCAAAAGAGUGACAUGAAUGGGGAAGAAGACGUAAAAAUUCCUGCACGCUGGAGAAAGAUUAUGCUGGCGGACCCGCUGGGUUCCCACUGAGCACAGUUGUAAUUGGAAUGUACUCUGCAAAGUUUAUUGGGUCCUGGAGCGACUUGUUACUGAACUGGUCAAUUAAUCUAUUUUUUUGUUUUUUAAUGAGUUAGGGGAUUUCCUUUAGCAGAAAAUCACCAGGAAGCAUGACCGAAUGCCCAGAGCUCAGGGAAAGGCUGGCCUUUCCUUCUAGAAAACUCUAUUCGACAAUUAAAGCAGGAAAUGGACUCCUCCUGCUACAGGUGGCGAUUGGACUGGGCUGGGAACCAAAGAGCAAGGAUCAAUCCUGCACAGAGGUGAGCACGGGCUCCCCAGGAGCCGAUUCCUCAAGCGGCGGCCUGAGUGUUCGGAAAUAAAGCCGUUGGUCUCCCUGCUGAGAGACAAAUGAUUUCUAUUUAAAAACCUGCUUGUUCCACGCAGCAACUCCCAGUGUAGCAAUAAUUAAUGAUAUAGGAAGGUUAAGAAAGACCUUCUGCCGGAAUCCCUCUGCUCCAGGCAUGAAAUUGGAUUAAAGUGAAGAUAAACUUAGACAUGAAAUCUGUUGAGGAAAUCAGUAAUUAUGUGGACACGCGCACAUUUGGAGCUAUUUGAGUAAGUCAGGUGGAUGAAGUGUCCGUAGUGCCGUCCCAGGCUUCGCUGUGGCCCAGCCCUUUGGGCCUCAGUGGCAAUGAACUGUCAGAGAAGAUGCUAACCAGGGCCUUGUACCCACCUUAGUCCCAACUCUGGAUUUAAUUUUUUUCCCAAAAUGAAGUUCCGUGGGCCUUUUGGAUACGCUCUAUGCUGGCUGCCUGCCUAAUAUGCAUUUCUCUUCUUCUUUGCUAACAGAUUUUUUUUUCAGGGGGACAAUGUACAGACCAAAAAGUCAUUUUCCAGGCAGUCUGGCUGUUGCGGGUGGCUGUGUGACAUGGUUCUGGCCAAAGAAACUUAAGUGGAAGUCUAUUGGGUGGGGCUUCUGGAAACAUUAUUUGUUUCCCCUGAUAUGAAGGGACAGAGUCAACUGACUGGCACGUGCCUUUAGCCCUUUGCCUUUUGCCCUCCCCUACUGCUCUUUUCCCUGCCUGGAACAGCAAUGGAAGAGCUGGAGGUUGGGCAGCCAUUUUGCAACCAUAAGGAUAAAAUUUCUGUCCUAAGGAUAGUGGAGAUGGCAGUGAGAAAGAGCCUGGCUCCGUUGUGGUUCCUUUGGGUAAAGAGGAAAGAGAAGGCCCAGCUGUUAGGCAUCUUAACUGAUCAAGCCCCAAGCCAUGAAGUUUAGAUUUAGAAUUAAAUCUCUUUUUUGACUUCAGGCAUAGAACAAAAGAAAAUCCAAUUGCCUGCAGCAUGGUGAUCCCAUCUGGACGACUCUGAGGCUUCCCGGGCCUUCCUUGAGGAAGAAGACGUGUGUCGCCUAUCUGGCCACUGAGAGCAUGAGCUGGACCCUGGGCUGACCUUGCUGAAAAUCAGACAGAGUAUUUAAUUGUGCAGGAUGCAGAAUCACAACCUAAAAUGAAUUCAAAGCUAUGGCAAGUGUCUCAUGUGAAAUUUAAGGUGUUCUUUGGGAAUGAGUGGGACCCUGAGGCCCGGUAUGGGGACAUCCGGAUGGAUUCAGAUGAAGCUGAUAAUACUGAAGUCCUGAGACACUUUGAUCCUUCCUUGUUGGUGGAAGAAGCUUGUCAUCCGUGUCUGAGGAGACCAGGCUCUUAUUGCUGCAGACACUGUAAUAAUCUCACCCAGGGAAGUGGCCUGGCGAGGGAGGCUACCUGCCCUCCCUAAAACCUAACCAACCACCUCUCGUUGCUCAGCAUGCUCCAGAGAGCAAGUACAAAGCCUGCACAGGAGGAAACAGCCUAUGUUUCAAAGGAAUUGCAAGGUUUUGAUAAUUUAUAUUACCAGAAACCUGGGGAGUUUGGGUAGUAAUGUAUUUUAAGUAUUUAAUGUAUUUAAAGAAGACAGGGUGUGACACUGGAGGACCAAAUUUCUUUUUAUGGUUGCACUUACCAGAGAGCCAGGAAAUUGUCUGUAACUAGAAUCGGCUCUCAUGGUUUGUCUGCUUGGAUGACUAAAGCUUAGACCCAGUGGUGGCCCGCGCUUAAUGGCAGUGAGAAGCCGGAACUUCCUUGGCAUAACAUUGAGGAAGGGAUCCUAAGUCUUAGGGAGAUGGGAAUGUUGCAGUGGACUUAUUUUGUGAAAACUUCACCCUCCUGUCCCCACUACAUCCCUUAAGAGAGCCCAGGGCACCUUCCCCUGUUAGGGGUCUGAGAAAUGCAGGGGUGAGGGGAGCACUAGCGUUGAUGAUGGGAGCCGUUUGAUGACAGGACAUGCUGCCGCUCAGGGGGGCUCUCGGGCUUCCCUGGGGACGAUGGGACUCCAGAACAGCAGAGGUCAAGUGCAACCCUUACCUCCAGAGACAAGGUGGGCUGUGCUGGAACAGAUGGCAUGCCCCCACCAGGGUCUUCAGCGGCGGCUAAUGAUCACAUGGCAUCCUUAAGAAUGAAAUAGAUGGGCAGCCUACUAAAAUGUAUCUGUGUUAUGGGGGACACUCCAGGUCUGCUGGCCACAGGUGCCAGAGUAGAGAGUCUGGUCUCUCACUCCAAUCCUGGGCCUAAGCCAGCGCUCAGAUCCGGAGCCCCUGGAUUGAGGGGAGGUAGGGUCCCCUUGAGGACAGUUACACUGUCACAAGUAUAGCCUGUAAAUCUUCCUCCAAGCCUUCUCUAAAGGGACAUGGGGUCAUUGCCAAGGGUGAUGCCACACUGAGGGAAGAGAAGUACAUAGGCCCUUCAGGAUUUCCUGACUCUGAAUUGAUGCCAAUUCCCAGGGACCCAAAAUGCCACUGGGAUCCCCUUGUCAAAGUAGGGGCUUAUGGUGUUCAGUUUAUAAAUGGAGAACUGAGCCAAGUUCUAAUCACAGGGGUCCCAGGAGGUCUGUGAACUCAUGCUGCGGUUGUCUCUCCAGUUCCAGAAGAUAAAAUCAGGACAUAGGUACUCAGCAGUGGGCAGAAUUCAUAAACGAACUCUUUAUGCUGGGAAGUCUCUGGAACUUCCCCUUCCCACUUCAGUAGUAAACCAAAAGCUACACCGCAGUCCCGACUCUGAUCUGACACGAGUGCCACCCCAGAAGACUUGAAGAUGUAAGCGAUGCUUGCUGCAUACUUGCUACAGUCCCACGUAACUCACUUUUUGGUCUGUGCAUGCGGUGGCUGGAUCCUGGAGAAGGAGUGUGAACAAUCCUGUAUUUAAUCGAGUGGCGACUUCCAGUGCAGCUGCUGUUCCAGAUGUGGUGUUUUAUUUUGGAGCAAAUCAACACAGCUCCUGAUACUGGUAUGUGGCUGUUGACCAGAUAAAGGCUUUUUCUCUAGCCUAUUUGCAAAGGCAAUCAGAAGAUUGCUUUUACCUUACGGGGCCAAAUCAUACCUGACUGAUACAGUGUGUUAUAGUCCACCUUGAAAGUUUUUAAAAAUAAAAAUAAUACAACUCCUACCUCUACAAAUAAAAUCACAAUUCUCUGUGUUGUUAAUGUCUCAUGAGAAACUGGCUGGAGAGAUUUUCAUUGGAAUCAGAAGGUGUGUUUGAGAUGGUUUAACUUCAAAGAUGGGUGGCAUAGAAUGACAACAUUUACUUCGGGGGCCAGGGAGCAUGUCACUAAGGUAGGUGCCUUCAAUUAUGAUACACUAAGAGGCCUGCCCACUGCCAGCCAGGACACACAGCUGUGUAUUCAUGGGCCGUCGGUGGGGAAAACAAACCGCGUGUCUGCGUACAGGCCCUUGUGCAGAGCAUCCGAAUUUCGGGCUCUGGGUCAGGAUCAAGCUGCUGCUCACAACCACAUCCCAGUGCUGGGUGCUCCAGAGCCAGGCGCGCAGGGCUUCAUUUCAUGAUGGCGCUUGACGCUGGAGCAGCUCUGGGCAGGCUUGGCUUGCGAGUGACUUGGUCAAAGCUUUCGAGAGUUAGGCAGGGGCCAGCAGCACGCCGUUUUAAUUACACACCAUCUGGACUAACCAGAACAAACAAACAUGCCUAUCAGAGCCCGUUAGAGACUGUCCUAUGCAGGAUGCGCUCUCCUUUUUGAUGGAGCCAGUGGAAGAGUUAGAGGCUGGGAGACAGCUCUCAAGCAGUUAGACUGACCUCAUACCCAAAGCAGGAGUAAGUCUGCAAAAUGCAAAACUGUGCACAUAACCACCAGUGAGAAAGGAUGGGAGGCACCUUCAUCUCCUCACCUUUGGAUUUGAAAGCGAUUCCUUUGACUUCCAUAACCCUUAGGGGUUCCCUGCAUCUUAGUUCCUACCGCACUGUUCUGUCUUUAUACUGGGGCCGGUCCAGUG